ensembl:lncRNA
GUGUUCAGCUGUGUGCUCUGCCCUGCAACUCUGGGGGAUGCCCAUGACUUUAAAUGUUUUCACCGAGAAGAAUUAGACAAAAUAUUGAGCCAGAAAUCCCCAUCUUGCCUCUAAAAGCAUGACUUUCCAGAAGACUCCUAACCAUCAGCCGAAGGGAAACGCUGUGUUGUGUGACUGUUGCAAAACCUUUUAGUUAAAUAGAAAUGCAGCACUCAACGCUAUCAUGUUCUGGUAUGUUCAGGACCCAGCUAGGGUUAACUACUCACAUUUCCAUGGAAAGCAUCAUGGAAAUUGCAUGAUAAAUCACAACUACAUUUUAAAUGGAGGAGUCAAGUGAAUGCUGAGGAGUCAAGUGACAUCUGUACCACUGAGUCAGCCUACCCUCUAGGGCUACCACUUCCCAUCCUUCUUCAUCAGCUAACCCAAGGGUGGGAUGCUACAACCACCAGUGCUGUAGGUCAAAAAUCCCAUUUGACCUGUUUGGAUGAUCUCCUGGAGUUGGUUAAAAUCCAAAGUGGCUGAACUCUGAUUGAGCUGCAUGUAGAUGUGGCAGCCAUGGUUCAGCACCCCCCCCACAGCCUGCUCUGGUGUGCAUCCCUUAAUUUCACUGGAGCUUCCCCUUCUCUUGCCUGAAGUGUGUUGAAAAAUUAAGUGUAGUGGCCAAAUAUCUUGGACUGUGUGUUUUAAAAUCCUAAUGUAUCCAUUGGUGUCUGACAUGACACUAGCCAAAGAGAAGUAGCUGCAAGCUAAGUGGAAGCUGACUCAGCCCUGCAGAUAGAUAUGGUAGAAACAGAAGAGCCAUCCUCAGUCAUGAGCUAGCAGAUCAAAUUCAGACAUGACACAGAUCACAUUAUAAAGGAUAUAUGAGCAAGUGCUCCUUGUAGCUUCUGUGCCACAGAGACAAGUGAGUCAGCUGGAAGCAGCAGCAGAAUUUACCCUGGAGCUCAAGACAGGAAAAAAUAAACUUCAGAAACCUCCCCAUUAAAUUUCUAUAACCUUCCGUU